UCCGAUCACCGAAGUCAAGCAACAUCGG
rnacentral:sRNA from 1 species